rnacentral:rRNA from 1 species
GAUGAACGCUGACAGAAUGCUUAACACAUGCAAGUCAACUUGAACUUCGGUUUGGGUGGCGGACGGGUGAGUAACGCGUAAAGAACUUGCCUCACAGCUAGGGACAACAUUUGGAAACGAAUGCUAAUACCUGAUAUUAUGAUUUUAGGGCAUCCUAGAAUUAUGAAAGCUAUAUGCGCUGUGAGAGAGCUUUGCGUCCCAUUAGCUGGUUGGAGAGGUAACGGCUCACAAAGGCGAUGAUGGGUAGCCGGCCUGAGAGGGUGAACGGCCACAAGGGGACUGGGACACGGCCAUUACUCCUACGGGAGCAAGCGGUGGGGAAUAUUGGACAAUGGACCAAGAGUCUGAUCCAGCAAUUCUGUGUGCACGAUGAAGUUUUUCGGAAUGUAAAGUGCUUUCAGUUGGGAAGAAAAAAAUGACGGUACCAACAGAAGAAGUGACGGCUAACUACGUG